UACUCAGUGUAUAUUAUCCAUGUCCUUGUUCAGCCAUGACUCUGAGAAACAUAGGAUAUUACAGUUCUUCAGGUUCCGUUGAUAGGAUAAUCUCGAACAGAGUUUGUCCAGUUCAGUGGAGGCUCCUCAGAGGAGGAAGUGGAAGACCAUCCUCCUCAGUGAAUUUCAUAAAAAAGAAAAAUGGUAAAACAUUACAAACUUACCCUUUUUAGAUUAAACUAUACUAAAUAUAAUUGAUUAAAACACUAUUUUGCAAAGAAGGUCUACAGUAGCCUCAACAGUACUCUGUAGGGUAGCACCACAGUGUAGCCGGAGGACGGCUAGCUUUCUUCUUCCUCUGGGUACAUUGACUUAAACACAAAACCUAGGAGGCUCAUGGUUCUCACCUACUUACAUACUCACACAGUAAUGAUUAACUUCCGGAGGAUGUCCUCCAAUCUAUCAGAGCUCUUGCAGCAUGAACUGACAUGUUGUCCACCCAAUCAAAAUAUCAGAGAAUAAAUCUAGUACUGAAAGCAUACGUUACAGCUAGCUAGCACUGCAGUGCAUAAAAUGUGGUGAAUAGUUGACUCAAAGAGAGAGAAAGAAAAUAGUUGAACAGUUUUGAACAAAUUCAUUUCUUCACAAAUUAAGGUGAAGCAAGAGAGAAAUAUAGAGUAAGAGACUGUCCAUCUUUUCACUUUCAGUUUCGCUUACUUAGCUAGCAAAUGCAGCUAGCUAGUUAGCCUACCAAAACAUCCAGCACAAACAGAGGGAUUCUAUGUUAGCUAGCUGGAUAUGACUAUCCAACACAACACUGGAACUCUUCCAAGUCAAGGUCACAUACAGCUGAUGUGUUGUGCAUUGAAGUCCACAAGCAGAGGAGGGGAGCGCAUGGUUUCGAGAAGGAAUAUAACGUGGCUGUGUGUUUACGUGUGAUCAGGGGUGUAUUCAUUCCGCCGAUUCUGUUGAAAAACGUUUCUUAAAUGGAAGCAAACGGAACAAAACGGGGAUAAACAUACUUGAAUUUGUCCGAUAGAAACUCUUGUUUGCAACUGUUAGACUAAUGAAUACAUCCUAUAUCAGCUUGAUGCAGGCAAGAGUGUGCAAGGCGGUAUUGAAUUUCACUGUCUGACCAUGUGUCAAAUUGGUCUCAAUGUCACGUGUGCACCUGCGUUGUAAACUUUCAUUCAUAGGCUAGGUUGUAGCGACCUCAUGAUGGUUAUAGGGAACAUUUGAGUAUCAUGUAGUAGCCUAAACCUGUCCAUGUUACAUUGAACUGGGUGAAUGGAAUAUGAAUGACAGUCAUCCAAUAUGCUGUAAUAGAAAUAAGGCCAUGGUCAUGACAUUUUUUGUCAUCCCUCAUCUUUAACUGCACUGACCUCCACUGGUCCAGUUUGUAUUUUAGUGGUUGUACGUUCGCCAAUAAAAUGGAGGGUUUACUUA